GCUUGUCUCAAAGAUUAAGCCAUGCACGUCUAAGUAUAAAUAUUUCACUUUGAAACUGCGAAUGGCUCAUUAUAUCAGUUAUAGUUUAUUUGAUAGUCCCUUACUAUUUGGAUAACCGUAGUAAUUCUAGAGCUAAUACAUGCGUCAAUACCUUUCGGGGUAGUAUUUAUUAGAUGGAAACCAAUGCGGGGCAACCCGGAAUAUGGUGAAUCAUAAUAACUGUCGUAUCGAGCAAUCGAAGCGCCAUACAAGUUUCUGCCCUAUCAGCUUUGGAUGGUAGGGUAUUGGCCUACCAUGGCUUUAACGGGUAACGGAGAAUUAGGGUUCGAUUCCGGAGAGGGAGCCUGAGAAACGGCUACCACAUCCAAGGAAGGCAGCAGG
rnacentral:rRNA from 1 species